UACGUAGGGGGCAAGCGUUGUCCGGAUUUAUUGGGCGUAAAGAGCGUGUAGGCGGCCUGAAAGGUCAGCUGUGAAAACUCGAGGCUCAACCUCGAGACGUCGGUUGAAACCGUACGGCUAGAGUCCGGAAGAGGAGAGUGGAAUUCCUGGUGUAGCGGUGAAAUGCGCAGAUAUCAGGAGGAACACCAAUGGCGAAGGCAGCUCGCUGGGACGUGACUGACGCUGAGACGCGAAAGCGUGGGGAGCAAACAGG
rnacentral:rRNA from 1 species